rnacentral:rRNA from 1 species
AACGAACGCUGGCGGCAUGCCUAACACAUGCAAGUCGAACGAGACCUUCGGGUCUAGUGGCGCACGGGUGCGUAACGCGUGGGAAUCUGCCCUUGGGUUCGGAAUAACAGUUAGAAAUGACUGCUAAUACCGGAUAAUGUCUUCGGACCAAAGAUUUAUCGCCCAGGGAUGAGCCCGCGUAGGAUUAGCUAGUUGGUGAGGUAAAGGCUCACCAAGGCGACGAUCCUUAGCUGGUCUGAGAGGAUGAUCAGCCACACUGGGACUGAGACACGGCCCAGACUCCUACGGGAGGCAGCAGUGGGGAAUAUUGGACAAUGGGCGAAAGCCUGAUCCAGCAAUGCCGCGUGAGUGAUGAAGGCCUUAGGGUUGUAAAGCUCUUUUACCCGGGAUGAUAAUGACAGUAUCGGGAGAAUAAGCUCCGGCUAACUCCGUGCCAGCAGCCGCGGUAAU